rnacentral:rRNA from 1 species
UACGAAGGGGGCUAGCGUUGUUCGGAAUCACUGGGCGUAAAGGGCGCGUAGGCGGCUUGAUAAGUCGGGGGUGAAAGCCUGUGGCUCAACCACAGAAUUGCCUUCGAUACUGUCGAGCUUGAGACCGGAAGAGGUAAGUGGAACUGCGAGUGUAGAGGUGAAAUUCGUAGAUAUUCGGAAGAACACCAGUGGCGAAGGCGGCUCACUGGACUGGUAUUGACGCUGAGGUGCGAAAGCGUGGGGAGCAAACAGG